rnacentral:lncRNA from 1 species
GCCAGGUAUUCCCAGCUGGGGGACUUGGCUAGAUGCUGUAGCUACUAGACCCCCAGAGGAGGUGACAGCUUGUUUUGCUAAUUGUUCAAAAGAGCAGCCUACCUGGAGAGCGGGACCCUCUAGGGAUGGUAGUUUCCUGAUGAUGCAGAAAGAGCAGGUGUAGACACAACACAACAAGAGAACCUGUAUGGGGCUGUUUUCAGAAGAAGGUAGAGUGGAAAAUGGUGCCAUCAGCAGUUCAGGGGAGAUUAAACAAUGAUACCUCAGAGAACAAAGCAGAGGCAACCUUCCCCUCCAAGACACUUCCUCCAAGACUGGCCACCACAUCUCCAGCCUUUCACUUAUCAAGUUUUCAUAUUUAAGAUUUAGGAAAUGAGUAAGCUACAAUUCCAUCACUCAAGUGAAAUUUCAUUUCGUUGUGUUUGUAUGCAUAUGCAUUUUAAACAACUGUGGGAUCAGUCAUUGUACAGUAUACUUCUAUAACAUAUUUAGCAGUAUAUUGUAAUGUCUCCCCCCCCCCCCUUUCUGAGUAUAAGGCUAAUAGUCUGUUUUAGGAAAGCUGUGGAAAUCAGAAUGACCAGUACCCACCCUGCCCGAGGCCAGCCACUGCCACUUCUGUCCCAGCAAAAAGCCUGCUCGUUAUAUGCUCCAGUGUGUUUUGAACACACCGCACUAAGCUGGUUGUUCCUAGUUGGAAAUGUUGAUUGUCAUGAAAAAGGAUUUCCUUGUUGUAAAAAAACAUUUUACCAUAUGUCCUUGAAAGUUUUAAUGUAGUUUUUUGAGGGUUAAAUUUGCCUGGAGUUUCCAAGGCAGAGAGUUCCACCCCCUUACUUUGCCCACUGGAAAGGGUCUGGGGUAACAUACACUUCCAUGAACGAUUGGCUGGUUUUGCCAUACCUUUGAUAGUGAUAGGAUGCUGAUUUUUAAUUUCAGUUGGGCCUGACUGUCUGCAUCUGUAAGUGUUAGUGCCCUUGGAGGCCGGAAAUGGAAUGAGCUGCAGGACAUGCAUGCUAGGAACUAAACUCAGUCCUGUGCAAAAGUAGCUCUCUCUGCACCAUCUCUCCAGCCCCAGAGAGCUAUUCUAAAAAGAUUAUCAAUUGGAAAAAAAAAAUGUGUCAUGUUUGAAUCUUAUUAUGGAACUGACCAGUGUCGUCUUCAGCUGUGUCUGUUGUUAUUUCACGGAUAGAUCUUAAAAUGUUAGCUUUAUGUCUGUUAACUAUUGAAAAUGUCUUUUGCAAGGAUUCCUUCCACUUGUGAUUUCUUCCCCCUCCUCUUUGUAAUGAUGGUUUCAUUUUUACAGUUAAGAUUUUCUAGGGAUAAUCAAAUCCAUCAAACUGUGUCUUUAUAUUUGCUUUUGUGAGUAGAAUCCUCCAUUGCUCUGGAGUAGAAAAAUGUUUGCCUAUUUUCCAUUAUAGGGGUUUUAUCCUUUCUUUAUACAACAUUUGACAAUCU